rnacentral:tRNA from 1 species
GGAAGCGCUUGGCAGGCUGGUGCGGCCCUCGGUCUUCAAAACCGAUGAGAGGCGGGUGAACGCUCGUCUCUGGCAGGUUCGAUUCCUGUGCGCUUCCG